AUUGAACGCUGGCGGCAGGCCUAACACAUGCAAGUCGAACGAGUGGCGGACGGGUGAGUGAUUGCUGGGAAACUGCAUGAUGGAGGGGGCUAACUACUGGAAAAGGUAGCUAAUACCGCAUACCAUCGGAUGUGCCCAGGUUGGAUUAGCUAGUUGGUGGGGUAAAGGCUCACCUAGGCCACGCUGCCUAGCUGGCCUGCGAGGAUGACCAGCCACACUGGAACUGAGACACGGUCCAGACUCCUACGGGAGGCAGCAGUAGGGAAUAUUGGACAAUGGGCGCAAGUCUGAUGCAGCCAUGCCGCGUGUAUGAAGAAGGUCUUCGGGUUGUAAAGUUCUUUCAGUAGGGAGGCGGUACCUGAAGAAUAAGCACCGGCUAACUCCGUGCCAGCCGCCGCGGUAAUAC
rnacentral:rRNA from 1 species